AUACGGAGGGUGCAAGCGUUACUCGGAAUCACUGGGCGUAAAGCGCGCGCAGGCGGCUAUUUAAGUUGGAUGUGAAAGCCUACGGCUCAACCGUAGAACUGCAUCCAAAACUAUUUAGCUAGAGGGUGGGAGAGGAAGAUGGAAUUAGUUGUGUAGGGGUAAAAUCCGUAGAGAUAACUAGGAAUACCAAAAGCGAAGGCAAUCUUCUGGAACACUACUGACGCUGGGGCGCGAAAGCGUGGGGAGCAAACAGGAUUAGAUACCCUAGUAGUCC
rnacentral:rRNA from 1 species